rnacentral:rRNA from 1 species
UGGGGAAUUUUGGACAAUGGGCGCAAGCCUGAUCCAGCAGUGCCGCGUGCAGGAUGAAGGCCUUCGGGUUGUAAACUGCUUUUGUACGGAACGAAAAGCUUCUGGUUAAUAUCUGGGAGUCAUGACGGUACCGUAAGAAUAAGCACCGGCUAACUACGUGCCAGCAGCCGCGGUAAUACGUAGGGUGCGAGCGUUAAUCGGAAUUACUGGGCGUAAAGCGUGCGCAGGCGGUUAUGUAAGACAGAGGUGAAAUCCCCGGGCUCAACCUGGGAACUGCCUUUGUGACUGCAUGGCUAGAGUGCGGCAGAGGGGGAUGGAAUUCCGCGUGUAGCAGUGAAAUGCGUAGAUAUGCGGAGGAACACCGAUGGCGAAGGCAAUCCCCUGGGCCUGCACUGACGCUCACGCACGAAAGCGUGGGGAGCAAACA